GAUGAACGCUGGCGGCGUGCCUAAUACAUGCAAGUCGAGCGAACGGACGAGAAGCUUGCUUCUCUGAUGUUAGCGGCGGACGGGUGAGUAACACGUGGAUAACCUACCUAUAAGACUGGGAUAACUUCGGGAAACCGUAGCUAAUACCGGAUAAUAUUUUGAACCGCAUGGUUCAAAAGUGAAAGACGGUCUUGCUGUCACUUAUAGAUGGAUCCGCGCUGCAUUAGAUAGUUGGUAAGGUAACGGCUUACCAAGGCAACGAUGCAUAGCCGACCUGAGAGGGUGAUCGGCCACACUGGAACUGAGACACGGUCCAGACUCCUACGGGAGGCAGCAGUAGGGAAUCUUCCGCAAUGGGCGAGAGCCUGACGGAGCAACGCCGCGUGAGUGAUGAAGGUCUUCGGAUCGUAAAAAUCUGUUAUUAGGGAAGAACAUAUGUGUAAGUAACUGUGCACAUCUUGACGGUACCUAAUCAGAAAGCCACGGCUAACUACGUG
rnacentral:rRNA from 1 species